AGGACGACGCUGGCGGCGUGCCUAACACAUGCAAGUCGAGCGAAUGAAGUUCCUUCGGGAACGGAUUUAGCGGCGGACGGGUGAGUAACACGUGGGCAACCUGCCUCAUAGAGGGGAAUAGCCUUCCGAAAGGGAGAUUAAUACCGCAUAAGAUUGUAGUACCGCAUGGUACAGCAAUUAAAGGAGCAAUCCGCUAUGAGAUGGGCCCGCGGCGCAUUAGCUUGUUUGGCGGGGGUUAACGGGCCCCACCAAGGCAACGAUCAGUAGGGGUUCUGAGAGGAAGGUCCCCCACAUUGGAACUGAGACACGGUCCAAACUCCUACGGGAGGCAGCAGUGAGGAAUAUUGGGCAAUGGGGGAAACCCUGACCCAGCAACGCCGCGUGAAGGAAGAAGGCCCUCGGGUUGUAAACUUCUUUUACCAGGGACGAAGGACGUGACGGUACCUGGAGAAAAAGCAACGGCUAACUACGUG
rnacentral:rRNA from 1 species